UAUCUUGGCCAAGUCAGGAUUGAUAACAUGGCCAUCCUAUCUUGGCCGGUCAUCAUAUAACAUGGCCAUCCUAUCUUGGCCAAGUCAAGAUUUAUAACAUGGCCAUGCUAUCUUGACCAAGUCAGGAUUGAUAACAUGACCAUCCCAUCCUGGCCAAGUCAAGAUAACAUGACCACCCUAUCUUGACCAGGUCAUGAUUUAAUCUUGACCAAGUCAGGAUUGAUAACAUGGUCAUCCUAUCUUGGCCGGGUCAUGAUUCAAUGUUGACCAAGUCAGGAUUGACAACAUAUGCCCAUCCUAUCUUGGUCGGCCAGGAUUGCAUUGCGCCAGGAUAUAUUACUUCCAAACGCAGCCAAGAUUUCUUCAAGCGUCAAUCCUGGCCAAGUCAGGAUGUAUUUCUUCAAACGCAGCCAAGAUUUCUUCAAGCGUCAAUCCUGGCCUUGCGCCAGGAUGUAUGACUUCCAAACGCAGUCAUGAUUUAUUCAAGCGUCAAUCCUGGACAAGUCAUGAUGUAUUUCUUCAAACGCAGUCAAGAUUUGAAGUCAUGAUUGCAUUGCGCCAGGAUGUAUGACUUCCAAGCACAGUCAUGAUUCGCUUUAGUAUGAUAAUAUGUAAGCGCUUCCCUAACACUGAAAAACCGCUAAAAUGUGUAUUGGGUUUCCAGCCUUCCCGUUCAUCUCAGCUGGCAAGUAAGUACCAAGUAACAGCUAGUGAUUUGUGUGUACUGAACCAUCAACAUAUUAAACUGUCCAAGACUGGUGAUAGAUAUGUAGUAUUUUAGAUUGACGCAUGCUGACUGGGGAUUAUGAGUAUGGAUAACCAUUUUGCAGAAUUAGGAAUGUGCAGCUGAAAGUGGUCAAAGACCAAAGGCCAAGACUGAUGUCAGCUUGAAAGAAACUACUCUGUGUAUUGGAUUUGCAAGAUAAAAGAUGAUGAAUUAAAGCACCAGUUUCAAGUCCAAAGAUCAAAAAGCACCAUUUAGGUCAAGGUCAACUCCAAAUAUUGGUUAAAACCUAAUUUGUACCAACAACUGAAUCUAGAAGAGGGCAGUCUUGAUAGGACACCCAUAAAAGAGCUAAACAGGAUUGAUGUGGAAGCCCGGAUGCUUAGCUGUGCCACUGAGUUCAUUUCCUGUGGAUGUUGUGUGCUUGGUGCAUUGCAAUAAGGACAUAUAACCCAUAGAAUUCACUUGAAUAAUAUGGAAAGAGAUUGCUUUGGCAAAACUCAUUUUAUAUAUUUUAGAAUAACUUUGUCAAAGAUCAAGUUUGUUUGGAUGACAUUCUGAUGCAACAACAUAUUUUUAUGCAUAAAAUCUUGUUAUUUACUUGAAUGGUCAAAGGAUCAAGACAGUUGAUAUGAGUUUGAAUGAAGCACAUUUACUUUGGUAUUUGUUAAGUUAAUUGGAAUAUUUUCACUUUGUAUAAUAGGUUGACAAAUGUAGAUUUUAUUCUCAGUCAAGAUUGAUCUUUAAGUUUUACAUCCAAACAAUAAACUCUUUUGUUUUGGACAAAAAAAUUAUUUAAACAUACAGACUGUAUUCUGAAGACAAAUGCAAAGAAACAAUUAUAGAUUGUUAAUUAAGGAUAAAUAACACAAACUUUUUUUCCCCAAAAUUCAGAUAUCUUUGCUAAAUUAGGUGCCUUUCUCACUUUGGAAUUAAUAUUUGUAUAGUUAAACAACUUAAUGUUUGGCCAAGGUACAUUAUUUGGCAAAAAGUGCAAAAAUGCAACUUUACAGUUCAAUAUGUUUUUUUGAAAAGUUUAUAAAAUGUAUUCAGUUUUCUUGCUUCAAAGUUUCUGGGGACAUUUUCAAGAGUCUAUUUUUACAUUCUACUAAAUUAAAAUUUAUUAAUUACAUUUCCAUUGAAAGAAAUAUUGAAAAAAUACCAGUGUAACUCUUCUGUGUGGAAGAUAAGAAAAUUUGUUUGUGGUGUGUAUCUUUAUUAAUGUCAGUUGCUCAAAUUCAAAAGGUCUAGAUUAUAAAAAUGAAAAUAAUGUGGGGCCUUGUAUGUCUGUCCAUUUUUUAAAUUAUACAUGUUUAAGGCCAUAUAAUAUAUAUGAUUCAUAUUUGGUCAGUAUUUGAAAAUUUAUUUGGGGAAUGAAUGAGCAUAAACAUUUUACUAAAGUGCUAACAAUUUUUCACAUAUUUUAAUUUUAAUAUUGAAUAUACAUGUACAUGCUCAGUCUGAUCUAUGUUUCAUGUAUCUUUUCACAAAAUUAUGAACA